CAUACAUAGAUUAAUACAAAUAGAUCAUUAUUUUAUAAUAAAGAUAUGCAUCUUCUUAUAUUUUAUUGUCUCCUGUUUGCCAGUAUCUCAGGUUCUCAGUCUGCCAUAGAACUUGUUGAGUCUGGAGGAGAUGUGGUGAUUCCAGGAUCAUCUCUCAGGUUAUCAUGUAAAGUCUCAGGAUUUACCUUUGCUGAUUACUGGAUGAGCUGGGUUCGACAGGCUGCUGGUAAAGGGUUAGACUGGGUGGCCAGAAUCAGCUCGGGGGCUGGAAGUAACACAUAUUAUUCCUCAUCAGUCCAAGGUCGUUUUACAAUUUCCAGAGAUAAUUCCAACAGUCUGUUACACUUACAACUGAACAAUGUACGGGCAGAUGACACAUCAUUGUACUACUGCGUGCGAGAUUCACAGUAG